rnacentral:misc_RNA from 1 species
UGUGGGAGGGGGCUUGCUCCCGAUAGCGGUGGAUCAGUCAGAUAGAUGUUGACUGACACUCCGCCAUCGGGGGCAAGCCCCCUCCCACA